CACGGAGGGGGCGAGCGUUAUUCGGAAUUAUUGGGCGUAAAGGGCAGGUAGGCGGCUCUGUGUGUCUCCUGUGAAAGCCCUCGGCUCAACCGAGGAAUUGCAGGGGAAACUGCGGGGCUUGAGUCCGGGAGAGGGUAGUGGAAUUCCCAGUGUAGCGGUGAAAUGCGUAGAUAUUGGGAGGAACACCAGUGGCGAAGGCGGCUACCUGGACCAGUACUGACGCUGAUCUGCGAAAGCUAGGGGAGCAAACGGG
rnacentral:misc_RNA from 1 species